CACUGAUGAAUUAUGAGAUGGAAUACUGCCCACCUGCUUGGAUGAGUGCAGUUCCAACAACAUUCAAGAAGCUUGACAUCAUCCUUGACACACAUGGCUUCAACAUGGCAGCACAGGCAAGCAGGCAGCGCUUGGGCUCCUGAGCCCAUCCGCUAAGAACUGGCCGUUUCCUCCUUUCUUUCAUUACCCCUUUAGCCUUCUUUCUUUUUCUUCAUUUUCCUGUUGACAGUGGUGAAGGUGACAUCACAGAGGAGCAUGGCUGGAAUGGAACUCUAGGUGAAGUGCCAGUGGCCUAGCAUGGCAGUGGACUCCCGGUUGUGGUAGACCUAGAGCGGAGACUCCAGGUGUCGGUUGCAGUGAUGGUGGUGUGAUCGAGUCAUGAUCAUCAGGACAAUGUUAUACCCUCCAGAUGAGAUGAUACAGGUUCCAAACUCAACAUCUGAACAUCUUUUCCUGCUGUAGUGUUGCCUCUCUCAGGAGAGUGAAAUUAGUUGGAGGUGUGUUCCUUCAAAUGCUGCAAUUUAGCAGCAAAGCUAUUGGUACAAUGGAACUAAAAGCUGAGAGUUCUCCAUGCUUAUCACAAUAUAUGAAAUGAAGAUCUGCAAGUAAUUGAGUAUUUCAAAGAU